rnacentral:lncRNA from 1 species
CGUCUCCCCGGCGGCCCGGUCAACUCAGAAGGUCCCCGCGGCGCUGCAGAGACCCGCCCGGGCCCCGGCUCCUGCCAUUUUUGUCAACCUCCAACUUCCGAGCGAGCCGGGAGAAACUGAAAGGAAGGGCGGGGGCCGAAAGGCAGAGGGGAAAACACCCGCUUCCUCUCCCCGCGCGGCUUCACCUCGGAGCACGGCCGUGGGUGCGCCGCCACCCGCUCGCCCGCCGGGGCCGCUGGAAGCUUUUCCUCUUCCCGUCCGCGCCUCGCCCCCGGGCUCGCCACCGCCGCCUCGGCCGUAACCUCCCUGGAGCCUAUAGAAAUCUUUUGUGUGGCGUCACCGCCUUUCGUUUAAAUCCCGCUUCCUCCUCUCGCCCUUCCUCCCGCCCCCUCCGCCGCUCCCGGAUGCUUGCGCGAUGCGCUGCUCCUCCCCCGGGAAGCUGGGUGGCUGCGGGAGGACGCCCCCGCCCAGCGCGGACGCCGCGGGCGCCGGGCCGGUGGUCCCCGGCUGAGACGCAGGGGAGCGGGCCGGAGGGAGGCCCGUCCGGGCCGGGGGCUCAGCGCCCACCCUUGGGAGACCCGGGCGCAGCCGCCGGUUGGGCUUACGUAAGCUCUCAGCCCGACCCGGGGGCUCCGCGCUUCCUCCCCGCCCAGGGAGCAAGUCUCAAAGGUGGCCUGUUUUCUGGACCGAAGGGAGGACGCUUGGCACCAUCGCCGAGUGGUGUGCUGGGGUCCUGUCAUCGCGUUUUGUGGGAUGUCGAUCGGUCGGCCAGGCUCUCCUCCGCCCUUUGUUGUGUUUGCUCCUCUUCCAGGGUGCGAUCCUGGAGGGACUGUGCGGCAGGUAUAAGACAACUGGAGAAGGAAAUAGCAACCCCACUCCAGUAUUCUUGCCUGGAAAUUUCCAUGGACCGAGGAGCCUGGCAGGCUAUAGUCCGUGAGGUCACAAAGAGUCAGACACAACUGAGCGACUGAACACACAAAGACAACAGUGGGAGCUUCUGAUUUUCUUAAAUCCUG